rnacentral:rRNA from 1 species
AUGAACGCUGGCGGCGUGCCUCAUACAUGCAAGUCGAGCGAACAGACGAGGAGCUUGCUCCUCUGACGUUAGCGGCGGACGGGUGAGUAACCCGUGGAUAACCUACCUAUAAGACUGGGAUAACUUCGGGAAACCGGAGCUAAUACCGGAUAAUAUAUUGAACCGCCUGGUUCAAUAGUGAAAGACGGUUUUGCUGUCACUUAUUGAUGGAUCCGCGCCGCAUUAGCUAGUUGGUAAGGUAACGGCUUACCAAGGCAACGAUGCGUAGCCGACCUGAGAGGGUGAUCGGCCACACUGGAACUGAGACACGGUCCAGACUCCUACGGGAGGCAGCAGUAGGGAAUCUUCCGCAAUGGGCGAAAGCUUGACGGAGCAACGCCGCGUGAGUGAUGAAGGUCUUCGGAUCGUAAAACUCUGUUAUUAGGGAAGAACAAAUGUGUAAGUAACUAUGCACGUCUUGACGGUACCUAAUCAGAAAGCCACGGCUAACUACGUG